rnacentral:rRNA from 1 species
UACGGGGGGAGCAAGCGUUGUUCGGAAUCACUGGGCGUAAAGGGUGUCUAGGCGGUUGUUUAAGUUUGGUGUGAAAUCUCCCGGCUCAACUGGGAGGGUGCGCCGAAUACUGAAUGACUAGAGUGCGGGAGAGGAAAGUGGAAUUCCUGGUGUAGCGGUGAAAUGCGUAGAUAUCAGGAGGAACACCGGUGGUGUAGACGGCUUUCUGGACCGUAACUGACGCUGAGACACGAAAGCGUGGGGAGCGAACAGG